rnacentral:rRNA from 1 species
UACGGAGGGUGCGAGCGUUGUCCGGAAUCAUUGGGCGUAAAGCGCGUGUAGGCGGCGUGACAAGUCGGGUGUGAAAGCCCUCAGCUCAACUGAGGAAGUGCGCCCGAAACUGUCGUGCUUGAGUGCCGGAGAGGGUGGCGGAAUUCCCCAAGUAGAGGUGAAAUUCGUAGAUAUGGGGAGGAACACCGGUGGCGAAGGCGGCCACCUGGACGGUAACUGACGCUGAGACGCGAAAGCGUGGGGAGCAAACAGG